CGUGCUUCCCUUGGUCUAGCAUCCCCUCUACAAUGCCGCAAGACUUGCCCAGCACUUUUAGUGAUCCUGGAGUCAGACUCUGCUGAAGGCAGAUCUGAGAGCCAUUUUCUUAGGCUGAUUUCUCAGGAUGCAGAUAAAACAAGAGAGGAGAAAACAUACAUAAGAAACAAAUAAGUAUUACUGGUGCAUUACGAAGACAUGAAUCACUUUAGUUAAAGUAUUGGAAUCAUGGAAGGCAUUCAAAUGAAAAACAUGCUGCAUAGAGUCCCAGUUACAAAAUGAUAAUGACAAAUUCUUAGAGACGUUCCAACUUGGCACUGCCCAGGGUACAAAGAUUUAGCCUUAGGAUCAAAAGAUUUUCCAGGACAAAAAAGUCAGCCUAGCAGUUUUCAUGACUGCUUGUAUUAGAAAAAGGUUCCCAGAUAAUCCUGCCAAACCAAUUAAGUAACCUGGUCCAAUACAAGCUGUUUAAGAUGAUAAAUGAGGAGGAAGUUAAAAAAAAAGAAGGUAAAUCAGACUGAACUGGCAAGCACUUAGAAGUAAAAACUUCAGAACUAUUGCCCACUCAAAGAUGUAUGUACUGCUCUGACCGUGAUACAGUAAAUCUGAAGGAAGGAAGGCUGCAGUGGACACCCAAUCUAAGCAGACCCAGGAAUGACAUGAAAACCACAACACAGUAAUAACGCUACUACCCAUUUACCUGGCCAGUGCUGAUUUAGCUAUUGAAGCUUAAGUCUAAAGCUACAUACUUAUACAUAGCAGGUUGCUUGAACAGUCUAGAAUUACGAUCUGAUCUGGUUUGGGAAAUGACAGUGACCACAAAAAAAAUCCAGACAAAUCUGUACUGCUGAUGACAAAUGCACUGAAAGCCGAAUUCCACAAGAGUGGUACUUCUCUUUUAGUGGCCAUUUUGGGGAUGAACCGAUUAUGUACACACAAAACUUAUUACAAGGGUUUAAAAAAACACCUUUUGUCCAUUUUCCUGUCCUUUCAGAUGGUAUCUAAAUAUGGGUUGUUUCAGCCCUGAAAGCAUGGAUAAUCUCAAAUGUUUACGGCAUCUUAAUAGUAGUCUUCUCCACAAUUCCUUGCUACAUAACAUAAGGAACAGUUUCUUAAAAGAUUUUGAAUACCGUACUUUUCUGAAAAGCCAAAAGAAGUUGGGCUAACAGAUUUCCUAAUGGAUCUGUCUCCAUUAUCAAACAUUGGUCAUCACAUCAGCUUGAGACCUGCAGGAUGGUGAUUUGGAAUGUUAAAUAUUCAUGUAUGCAUGAUGCUGAGGACUCUCCGUUUGCCCUGUCUCCAGUGAUGCAUUUAAGAAGUGAGUCAAGCCAGAUGGUUAGAGAAUACAAGACAGGAAUAAAAAUGCCUCAUUUUGCUUCAUUCAAAAAUUCCCAGGAACUGUGGCAGUAAGUCAUGUUAUGAAAGCCUA
rnacentral:lncRNA from 1 species